GGUUAUAUAGUCAACAUAUGAUUUUAAAUUGCAAAUUUAAAGGUGAAAUUUUUCUAUAAUCU
rnacentral:tRNA from 1 species